CGAGCUUGCUCGCAUGGUAGGAGAGCGUUCCGUAAGCCUGCGAAGGUGCCUUGUAAAGGGUGCUGGAGGUAUCGGAAGUGCGAAUGCUGACAUGAGUAGCGAUAAAGGGGGUGAAAGGCCCCCUCGCCGUAAGCCCAAGGUUUCCUACGCAACGUUCAUCGGCGUAGGGUGAGUCGGCCCCUAAGGCGAGGCAGAAAUGCGUAGCUGAUGGGAAGCAGGUCAAUAUUCCUGCACCAUUGUUAGAUGCGAUGGGGGGACGGAUCGCGGAAGGUUGUCCGGGUGUUGGAAGUCCCGGUCGCUGCAUUGGAGAAGGCGCUUAGGCAAAUCCGGGCGCAGGAUUCAAGGGUGUGGCGCGAGCUCCUUAGGGAGCGAAGCAAUUGGAAGUGGUUCCAAGAAAAGCCUCUAAGCUUCAGUCUAACGAUGACCGUACCGCAAACCGACACAGGUGGGCGAGAUGAGUAUUCUAAGGCGCUUGAGAGAACUCGGGAGAAGGAACUCGGCAAAUUGGUACCGUAACUUCGGGAUAAGGUACGCCCUUGUAGCUUGACUGGCCUGCGCCAGGAGGGUGAAGGGGUUGCAAUAAACUGGUGGCUGCGACUGUUUAAUAAAAACACAGCACUCUGCAAACACGAAAGUGGACGUAUAGGGUGUGACGCCUGCCCGGUGCCGGAAGAUUAAAUGAUGGGGUGCAAGCUCUUGAUUGAAGUCCCGGUAAACGGCGGCCGUAACUAUAACGGUCCUAAGGUAGCGAAAUUCCUUGUCGGGUAAGUUCCGACCUGCACGAAUGGCGUAACGAUGGCCACACUGUCUCCUCCCGAGACUCAGCGAAGUUGAAGUGUUUGUGAUGAUGCAAUCUACCCGCGGCUAGACGGAAAGACCCCAUGAACCUUUACUGUAGCUUUGCAUUGGACUUUGAACCGAUCUGUGUAGGAUAGGUGGGAGGCUAUGAAACCGGAACGCUAGUUUCGGUGGAGCCGUCCUUGAAAUACCACCCUGGUUUGUUUGAGGUUCUAACCUUGGCCCGUGAUCCGGGUCGGGGACAGUGCAUGGUAGGCAGUUUGACUGGGGCGGUCUCCUCCCAAAGCGUAACGGAGGAGUACGAAGGUACGCUAGGUACGGUCGGAAAUCGUGCUGAUAGUGCAAUGGCAUAAGCGUGCUUAACUGCGAGACCGACAAGUCGAGCAGGUGCGAAAGCAGGUCAUAGUGAUCCGGUGGUUCUGUAUGGAAGGGCCAUCGCUCAACGGAUAAAAGGUACUCUGGGGAUAACAGGCUGAUACCGCCCAAGAGUUCAUAUCGACGGCGGUGUUUGGCACCUCGAUGUCGGCUCAUCUCAUCCUGGGGCUGUAGCCGGUCCCAAGGGUAUGGCUGUUCGCCAUUUAAAGAGGUACGUGAGCUGGGUUUAAAACGUCGUGAGACAGUUUGGUCCCUAUCUGCCGUGGGCGUUGGAUAUUUGAAGGGGGCUGCUCCUAGUACGAGAGGACCGGAGUGGACGAACCUCUGGUGUACCGGUUGUCACGCCAGUGGCAUCGCCGGGUAGCUAUGUUCGGAAGAGAUAACCGCUGAAAGCAUCUAAGCGGGAAACUCGCCUUAAGAUGAGAUAUCCCUGGGGACUAGAUCCCCUUGAAGGGUCGUUCGAGACCAGGACGUUGAUAGGUCAGGUGUGUAAGCGCAGUAAUGCGUUCAGCUAACUGAUACUAAUUGCCCGUAAGGCUUGAUCCU
rnacentral:rRNA from 1 species